rnacentral:lncRNA from 1 species
GAAGGCUGUCCCGCGCCCGCGGCGCCCCGCGUCCCGGCUGCCGGCCCGCCACGCCAGCGGUUUCCCACCGAGGAAAACAGGCGGCCGGGCGUCGCGGCCCUGGACUGGGCCCGACGCAGCUUCCCCCGCGGCGCCGCCGUCGGGGCUGAGGACACUCAGCUGUCCUCGUCCCCUUGCAGCGGUCUCUCUCCGCCUGCACGAGCGAUGGGCCCUGAGCCACUGCGGUGCGCCCACCCUCGACAAGUUGAGGGCUAGGAAGCCAGGAAAGUGUCUUUUUGCAUCUUGGCCACGGUGGGGGUGGGGGAAUCGGGGACAACGUGGAGGGAGCUUUUCCAUAGCUACCUGUUAUAAAAGUGACUAGAUCUGCGCCAAAUGACAUCAUUUUUUGUAAGGCAACUUGCAGUGGACUAUUGCGUCACUGUCCACUUGGCUUACUGCACAACAAUUACACGUUUCAGAAAUCGAUUUCCCAAGGGUGGGAAAAUUCAUAAAAAAUUGCAUGUCUGCACCACCCGGAGAUAAUGCCGGAUUUAAAAAAGCUGUCUCUACUUGCGUCAAAAUAAUCAAGAACGAACAUUCAGAGGGCAGUGAUUUUUGUUGUUCGUUUUUUAUAGAAUUCUAGCUAGUACUUUUUAAAUAUUACCUUUUCUUGACAAGAAUAUAAAACUAGACUAUAGGACUGUUUUGUAAAUUUAUUAUGGCAUCUCUUUCUGGGAAAAGUGUAGAUGACGGAAAUACACAGUUGGAAGCCCGUGGAUCUACAAUUAACCUUAAAUUAGGGCAUCCAUUGCCCAUAGCAGAUCCUAAACUGAGGUAUUUCGGCUUCCCCCACCCCCACCCCCCGCCGCCAUUUUCUCUCUAGACCAAUAUCCCGAUGAACUUUCCGUGAGAGGUGUCGCUAAAAGCGAUAAUUAUCUCUUUCUAGCAAACUUGAACAUACCAUCUUUCCCAAGAGGCCAAAAUAGCACACGGUGUACUGUUUUGCUGAAGUAGACUACUUCGUGGGAGAGAUAACACAAUCACUUCAAUCUUUUGGAAAUACGCUUCCUUAUUCCGAUUUAAACUAUAACAAGCUUUAAAAAAACUGUAAGACACUGAAAUUCCCAAGUUGUUCACACUUUCUUUCCAUCUUUUCCAAUAGCUCCUUUAAGAUAUUUCUGUUCAUUAUUUAAAAAUCCCUGCUUGCCAUAUUUGUAUCUAUUACUACAUGACAAAUUACCCCAGAAUUUCACAUUAAAACAAAUUUUUAAAAUUAAAUCAUAAAAUAAACUUUAAAAAUGCAUACAUUCCACUUCUGAAUAUUUAAAUGUUCAUGCAUUAUUCCCGAACAUCUAAACGCUGAGUUUGGAUUUUUGUACAUUAACUAACAUUUUAAGCUAUACAUUACUAUGUGGCACUGACCUGUCUAAAGAGAGGCUUCUG